rnacentral:ncRNA from 1 species
AAAUUAAAUAGGCAAAUUUAGAGAAAUCUAGAGACGCAAAGCUAUAGGGACUAAGGUCUAUGACUAUGUCAGCCAGUUGCCAAA